GACGGAAGGUGCAAGCGUUGCUCGGAAUCACUGGGCGUAAAGGGCGCGUAGGCGGCACGGCAAGUCAGGAGUGAAAGCCCUGGGCUCAACCCGGGAACUGCUUUUGAAACUGCCGAGCUAGAGUGCGGAAGGGGCAACUGGAAUUCCCAGUGUAGCGGUGAAAUGCGUAGAUAUUGGGAAGAACACCUGAGGCGAAGGCGGGUUGCUGGGCCGACACUGACGCUGAGGCGCGAAAGCCAGGGGAGCAAACGGG
rnacentral:rRNA from 1 species